AAAAUGUGAGUCUCCUAUCAGGACAAGGAAAAAGUUAUGGAUUUAUCGUGUGUGUGAGACUCCGGGCAUCCCCCUGUUUGCUGUAGAGCUAUUAACUGCUUGAUUGCUACUGACCAGACCUGAUUGAAGAGGUACGUUGGCAGAUGAUGACAUUACUGCAGGAGAAGGUAAGUUGCGAAUCCAUGAGAACUCAUAGCAGCUGUUUGCAUUAUAACCUCAGCAUCAGUGUGAAGAAGAAGCCCAUAUCCUCCUUGAGCCCUCCGCCUGGUUGUGUGCAAUUCUGUAGCAAUUCAUUUCUUCAUGAAUAGAAAAGACUGUGUGAAUAGCUGACUCGUGUUCAGCUUUGAUGUCAUAUUGUUUGGGUAACCUCCUGAAGCUUCAGAGGCACUCUUCGGCAGAGCAGCACAGCCAGCCAGCAGAUGGGGAGGAGCGCUUGGAUUUCUGUGAAACAAAUGUGUUUUGUUAUGCCAAGGGAUGGCAUUCAAGCAGAUAAAUAAUACGCAUACUGCACGCGAAGAUGUGGAAGUGGAAACGUACAGAACUAGCGCUGGAGUCAGUGCUCCCUGCGAGGGAGCCUGCAACACACUGCAGUCCGCUUUGCUGAGCGCACCAGUGCCAACCAGGAGCUGAUGGCGCAGCUGAGAUCAAGAAGUGUUUUAAUCUCUUAAUAAA